rnacentral:rRNA from 1 species
GAUGAACGCUGGCUACAGGCUUAACACAUGCAAGUCGAGGGGAAACGCCGGGGAAGCUUGCUUCCCCGGGCGUCGACCGGCGCACGGGUGAGUAACGCGUAUCCAACCUGCCUCUGACUGAGGGAUAACCCGUCGAAAGUCGGCCUAAUACCCCAUGGCAUCGUCUGCGGGCAUCCAACGACGAUUAAAGAUUUCAUCGGUCAGGGAUGGGGAUGCGUCUGAUUAGCUUGUUGGCGGGGUAACGGCCCACCAAGGCUACGAUCAGUAGGGGUUCUGAGAGGAAGGUCCCCCACAUUGGAACUGAGACACGGUCCAAACUCCUACGGGAGGCAGCAGUGAGGAAUAUUGGUCAAUGGGCGGGAGCCUGAACCAGCCAAGUAGCGUGCAGGAUGACGGCCCUAUGGGUUGUAAACUGCUUUUAUGCGGGGAUAAAGUGAGGGACGUGUCCUUCAUUGCAGGUACCGCAUGAAUAAGGACCGGCUAAUUCCGUG